CCAAUAGCGUAUAUUAAAGUUGCUGCAGUUAAAAAGCUCGUAGUUGAAUUUCGGGACCAAUAUGUCGGUCGUGCUUCGGUACGUACUGUCAUUAUUGGUUUCCACCUUCUAAAGAACCUUGAUGUCAUUAAUUUGGUGUCUUGGGGAAUCAGGACUGUUACUUUGAAAAAAUUAGAGUGUUUAAAGCAGGCUCGCGCUUGAAUACAUUAGCAUGGAAUAAUGAAAUAGGACGUUUGAUUCUAUUUUGUUGGUUUCUAGGAUCGACGUAAUGAUUAAUAGGGAUAGUUGGGGGCAUUAGUAUUCAAUUGUCAGAGGUGAAAUUCUUGGAUUUAUUGAAGACUAACUACUGCGAAAGCAUUUGCCAAGGAUGUUUUCAUUAAUCAAGAACGAAAGUUAGGGGAUCGAAGACGAUCAGAUACCGUCGUAGUCUUAACCAUAAACUAUGCCGACUAGGGAUCGGAUGACGUUAAUUUUUUAAUGACUCAUUCGGCACCUUACG
rnacentral:rRNA from 1 species